UGGAGUGCAGGCUGUAAAGCAACUACUGAGGUUGAACGCUGAACACCCAGAUACACAUCGCUGUUUAAUUAAAUUCUUCCAUAAAGUGGACUCGAUGCCCACUCCAGUUACAGAUGCUGAGAACUCAUUUCGAGUGUCUUGGAAGCAGAACGCCCAACAAUAAGUAUUUUGCAUGAGAAAUCUCUGAUCGAGGCGAACAAGAUUUUCUUAGAGAAACAUAAAGAUUCCUUAAUGCACAGAGCUGCGGCUGCAGAACUACUGUAUGCUUUACAACCUGACAAGAAAGCUGAGGCUGUUAAGCUAAUUGAGGACGCAACAAACAAUCCGGUGCCAAGGAACCCAGCAGAUUGUAUUUAUCGAUCAAUCUGAGAAUGGAGAGCCUCGAUAAUUCAGCGACCGAGAAGAAAACUGGAAAAUGGAGAGCUCCUAUUUUU